rnacentral:miRNA from 1 species
CGGGGCUGGCGAUUGGUCCAGAUGCGUGGUGCCACCGGCCGCCGGCUCCGCCCCGACUCCCGCC